rnacentral:rRNA from 1 species
AGACGGGGGCCCGCACAAGCGGUGGAGCAUGUGGUUUAAUUCGAUGCAACGCGCAGAACCUUACCAGCUCUUGACAUGGGAAGUAUGGGCCGUGAAAGCGGUUCCUUCAGUUCGGCUGGCUUCCACACAGGUGCUGCAUGGCUGUCGUCAGCUCGUGUCGUGAGAUGUUGGGUUAAGUCCCGCAACGAGCGCAACCCUCAUCCUCAGUUGCCAUCAGGUUAAGCUGGGCACUCUGAGGAAACUGCCGGUGACAAGCCGGAGGAAGGCGGGGAUGACGUCAAGUCCUCAUGGCCUUUAUGGGCUGGGCUACACACGUGCUACAAUGGCGGAUACAGUGGGACGCGAAGGGGCAACCCUGGGCCAAUCUCAAAAAUCCGUCUCAGUUCAGAUUGCACUCUGCAACUCGAGUGCAUGAAGAUGGAAUCGCUAGUAAUCGCGGAUCAGCACGCCGCGGUGAAUACGUUCCCGGGCCUU